rnacentral:lncRNA from 1 species
UGAUGGUAGUAACUACAGUGAUGAUAGUAAGCACGCUGUUGCUGGUAAGCGCUCUGAUGGUGGUAAGUGCAAUGGUGGUAGGUGCUCUGAUGGUGGUAGGCGCUCUGAUGGUAGUAAGUACAGUGAUGAUAGUAAGCACGCUGUUGCUGGUAAGCACUCUGAUGGUGGUGGGCGCUCUGAUGGUGGUAAGUGCGAUGGUGGUAAGCGCGAUGGUGGUGGGUGCUCUGAUGGUGGUAGGCGCUCUGAUGGUAGUAAGUAAAGUGAUGAUAGUAAGCACGCUGUUGCUGGUAAGCACUCUGAUGGUGGUAGGCGCUCUGAUGGUGGUAAGUGUGCUGAUGCUGGUAAGUGCAAUGGUGGUGGGUGCUCUGAUGGUAGGCGCUCUGAUGGUAGUAAGUACAGUGAUGAUAGUAAGCACGCUGUUGCUGGUAAGCACUCUUAUGGUGGUAGGCG